rfam:Zea mays cultivar B73 chromosome 10, whole genome shotgun sequence.
AUACCUUUCUCGACAUUUUGGCUAAGAUAAAGUUUAAUAUUUGUUCUUAUUAGUUUAAAAACUUUUAUGUGAACCAUAUAUUCACUUUGAUAUUAAAUUUAUUUUAUGGGUACUUUUGGGAGGGUCCACCACACUAGCUUACUAAGCCUCAUGUGUCACUCAACCGAUACAUUUCUGGUAGGGCCUGGCCCACCCUAA